GUCGUCUCAUUUUACAUUUCUCCAAAGCUUCAUCAUAUUACUAUGUUGUUGAAAGAUUCAGCAUGAAAGAACUUGAGUCUGAGUGACUACAAGGAACACAAUAGAAUCAAUGAAAGACCUCACCCAACAAGACAGGCAACAACCAAUGUGCAAAUACAACAACUUAACAGAAAACAAUAAUAAUACAUCCUUGGAAACAUCCUCAAAGCAGAAUAAAAAACCCUGAAGAAUGAAUGACAGAAAAAAAGGUGCAAGAACUCCAAAGCCCCCUGCCUUCCAUCCACUUAUUCUAGCAGAAAGCAUCAACUUCCCUACCACCCACCAUGCCAGCAACAGCCUAGCCCCCAAAGAGAGACAUCAACAGUACAUCAAAAACUAGCUUUCACUCCAACAUUUUUGACAUCCCACAGCCUCUCUCACUCCCAUUAACAAGGGAGAGACAGGUAUUGCUUCUUUCACAGUGACAGGGGAGACAACAGUCGCUAUUUUGAUGUUACUGUCAGUUUGAAGCAUUACUUUUUAUUUCGAACUCUUCAACUCAAGAAUUAGCAUAUCGAGUGCCAAGUGCAGAGGCCCCUGACAGCCACUCACACUGUCUUCGAUAGUCCGGCUCCUGCUUUGCUUCAGAAUGCAACACUGGCGAGAAUUCGUGUCCACACGG